rnacentral:rRNA from 1 species
AUACGUAGGCACCAAGCGUUGUUCGGAAUUACUGGGCGUAAAGCGAGUGUAGGCGGUUUGCUAAGUCGGUCGUGAAAUCUCCCGGCUCAACUGGGAGGGUGCGGUUGAAACUGGCAGGCUAGAGUGCGGAAGGGGAGAGUGGAAUUCCUGGUGUAGCGGUGAAAUGCGUAGAUAUCAGGAGGAACACCGGUGGUGAAGACGGCUCUCUGGACCGCAACUGACGCUGAGACUCGAAAGCGUGGGGAGCAAACAGGAUUAGAAACCCCAGUAGUCC